CGGGGUGGAGUAAUGUCUGGGAAACGUCUCGAUGGAGGGGGAGGAAUGCUGGAAACGGUAGCUAAUACCGCAUAACGUCGCAAGACCAAAGAGGGGGACCUUCGGGCCUCUUGCCAUCGGAUGUGCCCAGAUGGGAUUAGCUAGUAGGUGGGGUAACGGCUCACCUAGGCGACGAUCCCUAGCUGGUCUGAGAGGAUGACCAGCCACACUGGAACUGAGACACGGUCCAG
rnacentral:rRNA from 1 species